CAAGACAUAGCUUAACCCAAAGCACUCAGCUUACACCUGGAAAAUGCCUAAUAAACAAGGGCUGCCUUGA
rnacentral:tRNA from 1 species